rnacentral:lncRNA from 1 species
AUGGCCAACGCGGGGGUGAAAACCCUCCUGCAGUCAAAGGAGCUCCUGGAGGCCAUGGAGGCCCCGCUGGGCAGCCAGGCACAGCCCCCCGUCUCCUGUCCUCUGCUGGGCCCGGGGGCCCCCCAGGCCCUCGCCAGGCACACGGCCAUCUCCUCCCCGGGUCCCCCCAUCGCAGAGUUCCGCAGGAACAGCACUCCCCAAAACUGCUACAACCUGAAGAGAACCUUUGCCUGCACCAACCUGCUGCAGCUCAGCCUGGCCAGCUCUGACAGCCCCGCAGAUAGGGAGGCUUCCAUCAGUCCCCACCUGCACACGUCAUGCUCCCAGGAUAAAUCUGAGCCCGCCACCCCCCUGGUGAGUGCCCACUGGGAACGCCCAAAACACCCCUGGGAACUCCCUGGUGCCCCUGCCACACGAGUGAGGGACCGGUUGGCGUGCCCCGCAUCUCCAAGGUCCUUCUGCAGUGCUUGUGGGGGACUGGGGUCCCUGACGUCUCCUGGGGACAUCCCCAUACCUGUGAGGAUGCCUGGAACCCCCGGGGCUCCCAGAUCUCCCCCAGGGAAACCCUGACACCUCUCCCCUCUAGAGAGAGAUCCCACAGGACUACAGGGAAUUCACAGCACCCCAAGUCUCAUGGAUGUCAGAGCUCCAGCACCCCUAGGGGACAUCACAGCCACCCGUGAUCCCCUGUGUACAUAGGAGGGGCCCAGGUGGCGGUUCUAGGUCACAGACUCGGUCCCAAGUCUCAGGAAGGGGUGCAUUGGCCCAACGGGCACACAUAGGGCUGGUACGUGGGCUCCGGGGUGACCACAGGGAGGGAGCAGACACCUCUCCAUAGACCAGGGGAGGAUGUGACUGUCACCACCCUGCCAACAAAGACUUUGCGUGACGCGGAGCAUGUUCUGGCAUGGUUAUGGCAGGAGAACUGAUCGUCAGCACCUCGCCUGUCCUGCUGAAGAAGGCAGAACGUGGGACGUGGUGAGCGGGACUAACCACCCACUGCAAGACACCGUAGUGCUAACAGCGUGUUGUGUCCGUGCAAUGAAGGUUCCUCUCUACAAACGCAGUGUGGCUCUUCCCUUGGGGACCUUGGGGUUUGUUUGGACGUCUCAGAAAAAUCCUUCUGAGUCUUGUAUCCCUCAAUGUGGGUGAUGUGUUACCUUGACAAUGAAAUCAAAGUGAUUCUGGGUUUGCACAAUACCUUAAACAUCCUGUGUUACACACAAAACCCCAUAUACACGUGUAUGCGCAUGAGUACAUCUACUCCAUGCCAGUUUUUUGAGAUGCCUACGUGGUAAAAAAGUAUUAGAUCAUCUCUGGUCAGUGAUAGGCAUAUGUAUAUAAAAUGUAUUUUUAGUUGUUAUGUAUUCUUUGCACCCUUUUUGUUGCACAAAGCCUUCCACUACAGCUCAAGGACACAUAGAGGAGAUAUCCCAUAUGUGUGAUAGAUCGUGUGCUCUGGGCCGUGACUUCCCAAUCAACCCUUUGGAGAUCCAUCAGGACCUGCGUGUUCCUCAGAGUGAGGCCAGGUACCAGGAAAAUGUGGAAAAUAGCUGCUUGCCAGUCUCAAACUAGGGUAAAACAGGAGGUAAGGAUGGAGUCAUUAAAAGGUUGAUGUUUUGGAAGACAAGGACUGGAAGAUCCUUAGCUGGUUGGCCACCCCAGCCUUCCUCUCUCACCUGAUGCACCUCAAGCAGGAGCUGCUCGUUCCAGCACCUACAAGAACUCAUAGCCAAGAAGCCUGUAUGCAUCCUCCGGUGUUCUUCAGAGUGCCAUCCUCGAUGCGUGGCAAGCUGGGUGNNNNNNNNNNCACCCCAGCCUUCCUCUCUCACCUGAUGCACCUCAAGCAGGAGCUGCUGGUUCCAGCACCUGCAAGAACUCAGCCAAGAAGCCUGUAUGCAUCCUCCAAUGUUCUUCACUGCUGGGCAUGCUAUCCUUGAUGCGUGAUUAGCUGGGUGGGCUCCAGUUCAGCCCCCAGCUUCUGCCAUCCCACAGAGUAUCCCUUGGAGUAUUAGCUCAUGAUCAAUGCCUAGCAAGAUAAUUUACAUGAGGGGACACUGAAGAUUUGGAGCCUUCUCAGCACUUCUGUCUACACUGACGUACAGUGGAAGCCAUGAGGCUUUGUGUGGCAUUUGCUCGUUGGAUCUUGACUGUACAAAUCCAUGAGAGGCUGAAGCCCAGAGUAUUGUGAGAAGUGGCUGAUGUUCUUGCAAAGCUGCUUGCUACCGUCUUUGAAAAGCCACGUUGACAAGGGGAAAGUCUUCGUGACCAGAUCACAUUUUCUGCCUUCAUCAAAAAAGGUCCAACAGAGGGCCCAUGCCAGCCAGCUUCACUUCAGUCCCAAGGGAAAACCAUGGAAUGGCUCCUUAUAGAAGACAUUUCUGGUAGAUGAAGAUAGGGAUGGGGAGCAGUUGGCAUGGAUUUACUAUGAUUUUGUGCCUGAAAAGUGUGGUUGCUUUCUGUGGUAAGAUGGUCAGGUUUCAUCGGGGCAGAGCAGUGGAUGCCAUUUACCUUGACUUCAGCAA